AUGGGUGUCCAGUGUGAAGUGCAGCUGGUGGAGUCUGGGGGAGGCCUGAGUCAGCCUGGGGGGUCUCUGAGACUCUCCUGUGCAGCCUCUGGAUUCACCUUCAGCAGCUACAGGGUGGAAUGGAUCCGCCAGGCUCCAGGGCAGGGGCUGUACUGGGUUGGACGAAUUAACCCUGAUCGUAGUAAUAAGAACUACAGAGACUCCGUGAAAGAUCGAUUCACCAUCUCCAGAGACAACACCAAGAACAUGCUGUAUCUGCAAAUGGACAGUCGGAAAUUAGAGGACACGGCCCUGUAUUACUGUGCGAGGGAAACUGAGUGGAAGUCAGUGUGA